GAAAGGUUUGGAUAGUUGGGCCCAGCCAUUCAGAAUGAGUUGUGAGGGUGACUCAUUUGAAAUAACUCUGGCUCUUCCUUGUCUUUAGGCUGAGCCCCACCACCUCAUGCUUUGGGCCCCCUGUGGAAACCUAUGCCAUUGAGCAUUGGUCAUUUGGAAACCAUGUAACAAUCCUGGAAUUAAUAUCCUAGGGCUGAUUAUAUUAUUGUAACAUUACAACAUUUUAUUGCCAUUUACCAUGACCUAAUACUGAGGAAACAGAUGUGUUUAUUUUGCAGAUGGAUGUGAAUUCCAAGAUCAUUUUUAUCCCCAUGGAUCCAAAUUUAGCAGGGAUGAUAAUGGAUGCACCUCUUGUUUAUGUCAGAACGGCGCUGUUGAAUGUUCGUUUAUUCCAUGUCCCAGUCUAGGAUGUCCCAGAGAGAACUGGGUGCUGGAGGCCGGCCAGUGUUGCUUUAAAUGCCAGGAACCCAUGCAAAGGACAGUGAAAUUGUGCGACAAAGCGAUAUUUGAGCGAUUUCUGAGCGAUUUCAAAGCUUU